UACGAGGGGGGCAAGCGUUGUUCGGAAUUAUUGGGCGUAAAGGGCGCGUAGGCUGUGCGGUAAGUCACCUGUGAAAUCUCCGAGCUCAACUCGGAGCCUGCAGGGGAAACUGCCGUGCUGGAGUAUGGGAGAGGUGCGUGGAAUUCCCGGUGUAGAGGUGAAAUGCGUAGAUAUCGGGAGGAACACCUGUGGCGAAGGCGGCGCACUGGACCAUAACUGACGCUGAGGCGCGAUAGCGAGGGGAGCAAACAGG
rnacentral:rRNA from 1 species